GCUUCGGAUACUCCAAAUAAGCUGCAGUCCACAGCGUGCGUCAUUGCGGAGCGGCGCGUCCAACCCACAGUUGGUUAAUGGGAAUCCGCUGACGGAGCACAACCAGUCGUUCGCGCGGGCACGUGUAUGCGCGUAUCAGGAGGUCUUCGACUGAAACUGGAUGGAAAGUCUUGACUGCGACGACACCGACCCGGCGGGAAAUUGUCUUACGGCGAACGGAGUGUUAUUCCCACGAUGCGCUGACUUCUAGGACAUGUUCACAGUGAUCAUCGGUUACAGAUAAACUCCACCUGGCGUCUCCACUCCGUCGGCAGCCAUGGCUCUCUCUGUAUCUGGAGGGACCCUGUUCACCGUCCUCCUCAUUAGCAGAUGGUGAGAAACAACACUGUAGGUAAUUGAUAUGAGUAUGUGGUAGGAAGACCCUGGGAAAGUGGAUUCAUCUCGGCCUGGAGGCAAUCAGCACGAGGUGUUCAGCCUUGAUAGCUUCUGUGAUUUAGUGAUUAAGAGCUGCUGCCGGUGGAAUACAAAUGUGCUACAACCAUUUCCACCAACAUACAUGGCGACAUUAUUGACUCAGAUGCUGAAGACGACCCAGGACCUUCGUAUCGCGAACGAAAAGCUCAUAAAAGGUCAAGAAAGUUGCACAUUCAUUAAGCAGAAAAGGAC
ensembl:lncRNA